GACGGGGGAUGCAAGUGUUAUCCGGAAUCACUGGGCGUAAAGCGUCUGCAGGUGGUUUCCUAAGUCCACUGUUAAACCUUGAGGCUCAACCUCAAAUCUGCAUUGGAAACUAGGAGACUUGAGUAUAGUAGGGGUAGAGGGAAUUUCCAGUGGAGCGGUGAAAUGCGUAGAUAUUGGGAGGAACACCAGUGGCGAAGGCGGCUCACUGGACCGGUACUGACGCUGAUGCGCGAAGGUCAGGGGAGCAAACGGG
rnacentral:rRNA from 1 species